CAGGAGGCCAGCCUUACCUCCUGCAGCUGCGCAGUGAAGAUCUGCCUGCUGUUGCCGCCUUCGCUGCUAGGGCUCCGAUCCCACCGCCGAUGCCGGGGAUCAGGUGCCCCAGCCUCAGAUCUUAAACAUCGGACAACACAGAGGUUACAUUGAUGAGGAAAUGCCGGAUAAAAGACACUUUUCCGCACCCUCUGCAGGGUAAAUGCCAGACUGGCAGUGGCUUUCUCCGGCAAAAUCAUCUGAUCACCGGGGGUUCCCGAGAGUUGCAUUUUACAUGCAAUUGUCUCUGAAGAAUAUGAAAGGGAAAAACCUUGUGGUAGAGGAGGAUCAAUGACAAACUUCUCAAAGUGUCAGUCUUUAAAAAGGCCUUAGUUUGAUGCACAUCUGAGUUUCUGGCUAUAUGUGAGAUUCAUAGGAAAUGCCAUAAUUGUCUGAUAAAUGUGGGCCCAGAGGGUAUAAGGGCUCCUUGGCCUUGUCCAGCCUAUUUGUGGAAGCCAAAGAUAGUUGGGAAAUCAAAAAUAGCUUGUUUUACACAUUUACGCAACUCCCAUAAUGGUUAAUAAGAGUUGUGAAACAGUGAAGUACCGCAAGCUAUGUUUUUGUAGUCAAUUAUUU